rnacentral:rRNA from 1 species
AUGCAGAUCUUCGUGAAGGCCCUACCACCGCGCCACCUCAGCAGCCUGCCUGCCUACAUGGCGAUGCACACAUCGCUGGCCUGGGCGCGUGUCGAAAUGAGGCAGAGCGGCGACGGACAGGACGGGCCUCGUUCCCGUCCCAAUAAAACUAAUGGGCACCUAAGUAGCGCAUUUAAUGCGCUUUGUCUGGUAAUGCCGAGCGAUAAGCUCGCGCACUAUACACCUUUCCACCUCCUGUGUGCCACUGUGUCAACCCCUUUUUCCUAUGAAAGGAGGCCUGAGGCGACCAGGAGAAGGAUUCGGCUCUUCGGAACUACGCAGCCACCGUAG